rnacentral:rRNA from 1 species
AUGGGGGGUCGCGCGGCUGUGCUGAAAUUGGUGGAGGAGUCAUGCGGUGGUGCGGCAGUGGAGCGCUUGCCGGCGACUCCCGGUGCUGCGAUGCAGCGCUCGCCGGCGGCCCGGAGCAGUGAUGCAGCACACGGUGCUCCAAUGAAGCUCCAUCGGCGGCUGAUGAUGCUAUGUUGGAGCGGGCGGUGCUACAAUGGAGCUUCACCGGCGGCUGGUGGCUGCAAUGAAGCUUCACUGGUGGCUACCGGUGCCGUGAUGCAGCGUUCGCCGGCGCCCCAAAGCUGCGAUGGAGAGCUCGGUGCAGCAAUGGAGCGUGCUAGUCAGCGGCGGGGUGCUGCCAUGGAGCGCCGCCGCGCCAGAGUUGCCGCUGAAGUGUAG